rnacentral:rRNA from 1 species
GACGAACGCUGGCGGCGUGCCUAACACAUGCAAGUCGAACGGAACCUCCCUGCUUUUGUGCGGUAGUGGACUGGCGGAAGGGGUAGCAACCCUUGAGUAACCAGCCCUUCACUUUAGGAUAAGUUAAGCCAACAGGGGGUAUUCACAGAUAGGAGUUCAUGCUGCAUGGUGGGGCUGGGAAAGUUUCGGUGGUUGGUGAUGGACUCGCGGCUUAUCAGCUUGUUGGUGGGGUAGUGGAUUACCAAGGCUUUGACGGGUAGCCGGCCUGAGAGGGGGACCGGCCAAAUCGCGCCUGAGAUACGACCCAGACUCCUCCGGGAGGCAGCGGUGGGGAAUAGUACACAAUGGGCGGAAGCCUGACGCAGCAACGCCGAGUGCCGGAUGAGGGGCAUCGGGUUGUAAACUGCAUCCGCUUGUGACGAAGCGUGAGUGACGGUAAUGGGUAAAGAAGCACGGGCUAACUACGUG